UAAAUGUACUAAUAAGAGGUACGUUUGCAGCAGAACUGCAGAAACUUUCUUUACUUUACAUUGUGACACUGAGAUAUUUGUCAGUCUACUUGUUGCACUGUCUGUAGUAAAUCUUUACUUCCUGGCAAAAAGGUUUUUAGGUUUUGACCACUUCCUGUGAUCAGUACAAUGCUGCCUAAUAUGGACUACAUCAUUUCACCUGUCAGUAUAUACUUAGUAUAUAAUCGAACGUCUCUGGCGAGAUGUCUUCAGAGCGGUCACUUGCCUUUUCUACAGUGCUGCACCAGCUGGAGGAGGAAGGUCUCCUUGACCUGUCCAGUAGUCUUCACCUAUUCUGCUGCCAUUACGUCUUUAUUCCCCCCUUGCAAGCCCAGCUUGAUGUAUUCACAGAUGGCUGGGACGAUCAUCUCCUUUCAACUGAGAGAAAUCUCACUCCCAACCAACUGUGGCACAUGAGACAACUACACAACUCUGAAGAGUACAACGAUGAGGAUUUGCACAUCCCUCGGAUUGACUGGGAGAGUAGUGGCCUUAUACCCUCUGAUCCCAACUGUGGUGUCCAUGUCCCUGAGAGGGAUUGCCCUUUGACCCCCCCUGGCUGGACUUUGUGCUGCUGUGGACCCAAUGGGACCCUCAACAUGCAUGGGAGUUGACAGAUACUUAUCUGCACUGGAGUAUAUGCACAGCAUUGGCUAUGUGUAGACUCUAUGAACUGCUUCUCAUAUCCCACAGAAAAAACAACCCUACACAAAUGUUGUGGUAGCUGGAUGGGUGAGUUCACGAGCAAGGACUGAAGACUAUGAAGGAUCUUUGUUAUUAAUGCAGUGUGAUUGAAUUUUGUGGGAUAGCUGAAAAUUAGAACUUAUGUUAUUCCCAUUCUUUAUCUACUCUUUGCAUACAUACAUUUACAACUUACAAUUACACCCAAAGAUUUGUGUUUUAACUGCUUGCACGUGUUUAAGUAUGCUUGUAGGCUACAGUCAAAGCACUUCUGACUCCUGACCUGUUUUUAUCAAUCCAAACCAUAACAGCCUUUUUAUGUUGGUGUUUUUCUGAUGAAGUCAUGCAGCAUAAUUGGACAGAAUGGUAAAUCUACUUGAAUGUUUUAGAUACAAUGUAAUGGUUUUUGUAAAUAAUGAUCUUGUAUUUUUGUUUUCUAAUGUCACAGUCCCCUUCUUUAAUGUGGUUAAUUUAAUAAUUUUCUCUGUAAAUGGAAUAAAACUGAUAAAAAUGUUAAAAAAAUA